GAGACAGCAGCAGCCGCGGUAAUACGUAGGGUGCGAGCGUUAAUCAGAAUUACUGGGCGUAAAGCGUGCGCAGGCGGUUGUGUAAGACAGGUGUGAAAUCCCCGGGCUUAACCUGGGAACUGCGCUUGUGACUGCACAGCUAGAGUAUGGCAGAGGGGGGUGGAAUUCCACGUGUAGCAGUGAAAUGCGUAGAGAUGUGGAGGAACACCGAUGGCGAAGGCAGCCCCCUGGGCCAAUACUGACGCUCAUGCACGAAAGCGUGGGGAGCAAACAGGAUUAGAUACCCCCGUAGUCCCUGUCUCUUAUAC
rnacentral:rRNA from 1 species